AUUGAACGCUGGCGGAAUGCUUUACACAUGCAAGUCGAGCGGCAGCGCGGGGCAACCUGGCGGCGAGCGGCGAACGGGUGAGUAACACAUCGGAACGUGCCCAGACGUGGGGGAUAGCCCGGCGAAAGCCGGAUUAAUACCGCAUACGAUCUGAGGAUGAAAGCGGGGGAUCGCAAGACCUCGCGCGUUUGGAGCGGCCGAUGGCAGAUUAGGUAGUUGGUGGGGUAAAGGCUUACCAAGCCUGCGAUCUGUAGCUGGUCUGAGAGGAUGAUCAGCCACACUGGGACUGAGACACGGCCCAGACUCCUACGGGAGGCAGCAGUGGGGAAUUUUGGACAAUGGCGCAAGCCUGAUCCAGCCAUUCCGCGUGCAGGACGAAGGCCUCGGUUGUAACUAGCUUU
rnacentral:rRNA from 1 species